rnacentral:rRNA from 1 species
UACGGGGGGGGCAAGCGUUGUUCGGAAUUACUGGGCGUAAAGGGUUCGUAGGUGGCUUGCUAAGUCAGACGUGAAAUCCCUCAGCUUAACUGGGGAACUGCGUCUGAUACUGGCGAGCUUGAGUGCAGGAGAGGAACGCGGAAUUCCAGGUGUAGCGGUGAAAUGCGUAGAUAUCUGGAGGAACACCGGUGGCGAAGGCGGAUCUCUGGGCCUGAUCUGACGCUGAGGCGCGAAAGCUAGGGGAGCGAACAGG